rnacentral:lncRNA from 1 species
AGGAAGAUUAGCCUUGAGCUAACAUCUGCUGUCAAUCCUCCUCUUUUCGCUGAGGAAGACUGGCCCUGAGCUAACAUCCAUGCCCAUCUUCCUUUACUUUAUAUGUGGGACGCCAACCACAGCAUGGCUUGACAAGCGGUACAUAGGUCUGCACCAGGAAUCCGAAAAGAGCUGCAGGGUGAUGUCAACGGUGCUUGUCUAUGGACCACACUGCGAGCAAGCGAAAUCUUAAUGUUCAGAUGACUGCGUGCAUUUUACACAGUGGAAAUAGUUACCAUUUAAGGAGCUUGGUAUGACUCUCUGACAGCUGCGGUACCAGGUGUUUUCUGUUCUCUUGCUCUCUUAC